UGUUGUUGUUGUGGAACAUAUUAGUAAAAAAUUGAACUAGUUUAUAGCAAUUAAUGGUCUUUUAAUAAAGAGUAGGAAGGCAUUUUAUAUAAUCAAUUUAUAAGUUAAUUAAUAGUUGUGAAUUAAAAUAAAUCACCUUAUAGAGGAGUCAUUUAGUUAACAAUUGAGAAGUUAUAGAAUUUAUUAGACACUAAUAUAACAAUCAUCAAGAAAUAUUAGGAUUAUUUGAUAAUU
rnacentral:lncRNA from 1 species